UAUUUCCAGUUCCUUGGCUUUCUGAUAAAUUUGCUCAUCCUGGGAUUCUUCUCAAGCAGCUGCUGCUGAGAAGGCUUCCACCACGAAGGGAGAACAGUUCCCAGGGGAGACGCUGCCUGUCGCCUGUGGAGAAACCACAGCGAGAGUCAAAGAGGACGUGGAUGCGGUGACCUGUGAAAUGCUCCUCAACACGAUGGAUAAUUCCACAGGCUGUACAGGAGCCAUGAUGUUGGCAUCUGCCCGGCUUCUGGGGAGGCCUCGGGAAAGUUACAGUCAAGUCGAAGGGGGAGUAGGCUUGUCAUAUGGUGAAAGGAGUGAGAGGGGAGGUGCCGCGCACUUCUUAACAACCAGAUCCCGUGAGGACUGCCACUGUCGUGAGGACAGCACCAAGCACACGGUGCUAAACCAUUCGGAAGAAAUCGCCCCCAUGAUCCAGCCACCUCCCACCAGGCCCUGCCUCCAGCAUUGGGGACUACAAUUCCACAUGAGCUUUGGGCAGGGACAGAUAUCCAAACUACAUCAUGUGUAUUUUACUACAACCAACUGUAUUUUAAUUUCAAGAACAGAUAACAUAAGAAUCAUGUUUGAAAA